rnacentral:rRNA from 1 species
GACGUAGGGGGCGAGCGUUAUCCGGAUUCACUGGGCGUAAAGCGCAUGUAGGCGGUUGCACAAGUCCGUUGUUAAAGCCCCUGGCUCAACUGGGGGAGGUCAAUGGAGACUGUGCGACUUGAGGGCAAUAGAGGCACGUGGAACUCCCGGUGUAGCGGUGGAAUGCGUAGAGAUCGGGAAGAACACCAGUGGCGAAGGCGACGUGCUGGGUUGCACCUGACGCUGAGAUGCGAAAGUGUGGGGAGCAAACGGG